ACGUGGUAUACCGCAUACAAAGAAAUGGAAAAGCACGAUGUAAAAUGAAAGUAGUACCUUUGGAGAGGCUCGCCCCAUUUGGUUCAAGAGGAUUUGUGCCUAAUCGGGACGAUUAGGCUUUAGUGGAGGGCAGUGUUACAAAAGUAGUAUUAAGUUAUAUUUGAAUUACUAUAUGCAUCCCUGAUUAUGAACAAUAGCUGUAGGUAUAUGGAAUAGCAUUUGUCUUGUUGUAAACAUCUGGCGCCACGGCUGUCUGCUCGUCGAAACAAUAGACAUCUGGCGCCGCACUGUCUGCUUGUCUAGGUAAACAAUUGCUGAGUGGCGCCGCGACUGUCUGCUUGCGUCUGGCGCCGUAUAGCCGUAUGUUCUGGUAAUUUCCAGACGCAAUAUUCUAGAAGGACACGUCGGCAUCAGCGAGAAGUGCGUGGCUAUAUAAGCCGUGGCAGCGCCAACGUAAUCAAUCAGUGCUAAGAGUAAACUGCUAUAGUGUAGACGAGUUGUGAAAUAAAGAGUUGUUGAAUUAAAUUAAACAGUGUUGAUUUUAUUUGUCAAUCCAGAGAUACGAACCUAACAAAGUAAACUAGCAAGAGUAAAUUCGUAACAAUACGUUAUUUUGCAUUUCAGGUGACGAUAUGUAGAAUGUUUCCUCCACUAAGGAAAUAAAUAUGUUAAUACAUUUCAAAACAUUUUGUAAUAAAUUUUGAUUAUUUAUUAAAGUAAAAUAUUCGUGUAUAACAAGAAUGAUAGAGAAAGAGAUUACGCAAUGCGCAUGUUUGCUUUCAGUCAGCUGUUCUUGCUGACGUCGCGGUUGACUUAUUAUUCGCCCGCGCUAUUGAAAGUGAAUUCGAAUUGUGUUUUCAAGUGUUGUAUUAAUUGUUAAAUUCUAUAUUUUUAAAAUGCGUUGUGCAGUGUUCGGUUGUAAUAAUAACAAUGGUAAAAAUAGUGCUACGAAUUGGAUAUUUUUUCAUUUCCCUAAGGAUAAAGCCGCAUUAAAACAAUGGAUUCAUUUUUGUCGUCGGACGGACAAAAUAAACGUUGAAAAUGCGUGCGUUUGUGAAGUUCACUUCGCGCCAGAAGCUUUCGAAAGAAAUUUGCAGUUUGAAAUGGGUAAUUAUAGCAUUUUGAUAACAAUAAUUUUACUUUUAUAACCCAACACUCUUGCAGGUUUAAGUUCGCGGAAUCCAACGAAGUUGCUACCCAGCGCUAUUCCCACGGUAACCAUUGCUCCUGCAGAGGCUAAUAAACGGCAGAAAGGAUGGAGUUUGGAAACAGAAAUACAAAGGCUGAUAGUGAAUAGUGUUUUUAGCACUUUGAAUAAGUGCAAAAACGAGCAGUAGCAGAAAUUAAACGCCCCAAGAUUUCCAUUAAAACUGCGGAAUUCCAUAGAAAUAAUUUGGAGCAAAAACUUGGCUGCAUUUUUACCAACGGCCAGAUUGAAACAUUAAGGGAUGGAAACAAAUCACGCUAUAUUCAACGAGCCCAAAAGCGUACAAAUUUUUGAGGAGAAACAAAUUUCCUCUACCAGGUGUGCGCACUCUGCAAUGGUGGUAAAAAAAAAUUGACGUAGCUUCAGGUGUCAUAGAGCCGGUGAUGAAACUGUUGAAGGCAGCAACUGAGCUAACACAAGCGCAAAAUAUAUGUACAAUUACAUCCAAUUAUGUACAAAUUGCGUCCAGAAGCACAUAGAUUUACGUGAUUUUGUAAAUUGUAGUUCGAAAAUAAAAGAAUUAUUUUUCAGAGCUAGAAUGUAUUUUAGGAUUCGUUUCUUAAAUAAAAACAUAAUUGAACAUAUGUUUAGUAAAAAAAGAAAAUUAAAUAAAACAAUAAAUUGAUACUUGGUUACAAAAUAUUCAACCUUUUUAUUUACAUAAAUGUAUAUGGUUGAAACAAACACAGCAAAGAUUGUCUCUUUUUAAAUAAUACAAUGAAAAUUCAAUUAAAUGAAUAUAUAGGUAAAAGUUCACUAUAAAAUAUUCACUUAUAUUGAUAUCUUUUAUUAAUAUUCACUUAUAUUGACGUUAAAUUUUGAUGAUAUUCAUGAUUUUGUAUGCCUGCAAUACAAAAUUGCUUCUUAUUGCAAAGAAAAACAAACAACUGAAAAUCAGCUGAUUGUAAGUUGGUCAACCGUGACGUAGAUGCACAGAACGAACAAAAUUUGAACUCGUCAUUG